UUUUGACGUCAAUUCAGCUUGCCACCGUCACAUGGUCACAAAUUAGUGAAAAAACUUAAGCGGAAAUAUCAAAAUUUUACCCGCUCGCCCGAAAUUUAAACGUGAAUAUCAAUUAAGUUAUCAGAUCUAGGGUUUUGAUUCUGAAGUCUAGUCUGCUCCGCAAAAUCACUAGAACCAUAAACUUCUCUCCCCCAUCAUUGAUCGAAUCAUCCUCCACUCAACCAUCACCGAUGGAAUCAUCCUCUGCUCCACCUCACUGUCAACGACGUCCCCUGAAUCACAUGGCAACGAUUUCACUUCACUACCGUCCGUUCGCACCACCACUCCGUCACCGGAACACUCGCAGUCAUCACCGGCCACUCGUUUCAAGACCUUAGAUAUAUCAAAAGUUUGGCUUAAGGAAGAGCUGGCUCGCUGGGGGAAUUUUAGAGGCGAGGAAUCCUACAUGCUAAUGUAAGUGCUUCUACACUUUAGUUACAUUAUUAAAUGUCACUUACAUGGUUAUUAAUAUUAUUGUGUGUGUAAUUGGGAUACAUAUUUUUGUUGAAUCAAAGUGCUAUUACAUUUACAUAGUGGAAUACAAACGGUAGUGUUAUAAUAUUGUUGAUAUGACAACAUGAAGUUGAGUUAUGUUUUUAAUGCUUAAUUAUAAAUCAAGAUACUUAUAUAACCAAUAGGAUUGAAACUAUAAUUUGAGCUAUAAAAUGAAGAGUGAGCUGGAUAUUUCAAUUGGGAAUUGAACUAGAAUGAGUUUGACUUUUCUCUAAAAUACAUGUUGCUAGUAGUCAUAAGCAGGACCGGGAACAAUAUCCUUGUUGUUGAUCUGGGCAGAACAUUUUUUUAUUUGGUAUCCACUUUGCUACUGCUAUUAUAUUGUGUGCAAAUGUACUUUAUUUGUGUUGACCCGUUAUUCAACCUGCAUAUCUGGCCUUUUGGUCGCAGCUUUUAGGGUUGUAUAGAAUUGUUCUUGCUGGUUACCUUUGUAUGUAUUUAAACCAGCAUAACUGGCUUCUUCUUUUUUUUGGUUGUAGCUAUUACACUGUAUAGAUAUAUUUUUUUUGCUGAUUGAUCUGCAUUACAGCCAGUAGGUUUGUCGCUUGGGUCGCUAUUUGUCUCGUUAUCUUAAGAAAUCACUUUUUUUUAAAUAAGUGGUGAUUUCAUUUGGGUAAGGUGGCUAUAAUAUGUGGCGUUUGGUUUCUCAUAAUUCUGAGGUUAAAUUCCAUGGCAGCCCUUAUUUUUUCUACUUCUUAGUGUUCAUUGCAGCCCUAACAAAAAAGAGAACUAGUUUAUAUUAUGCCAAAUCGCAUGGGUAAAAUGGUAAACGAGUCAUUUAAGUAACUUGAAAUCACAAGAGUUUUGUUAACUAUAAGAAAAAUACAAAGUAGUGAAAAUGAUGGAAGUCGACACAAGCUAAUGGUAUCAUGACUAUGGAAGUCUGUAACAGAUGUACAAGAUCCAUUGUGAAGCGACCGUUUUUCAUCUACUGGUAUGGUUUAGUUUCAAUGUCAAAAGAAUCCUUGUAAGUUAUUGGUUUGUUUGACCUCAAAAUUCAAACUUGAUUAUUUUUCAUCUACUGGUAUGGUUUAGUUUAUUUUCGAACAACCAAAUGCAACUCUUGGAUCAUGUAUGCAGCUGGUCAAUACCUUAUUAAGACCUGCUAUCAACAACCAACAGAUUCUCUCCGAGCCUAUUUCAUUACCGGUAAGAAUCUUUCUUGAUUCUUACUGAUAUAAACAAAAAAUGGUGCGAUUAGUCUUGAGAAAUUGAGUCAGAUUGAAAAGUUGAACUUAGUUAUCAAGGAGCUCAUUAAGGAAAAAGAUGAAGAAAAAGAAAGGUUCAAUGGAAUUAUUGCGGGAUUGUUGGCUGAAAAAGACAAAGAUAAGGUAGAUAAAGAUGCUAUGUUUGAUAGAAUGUCACAAAUUGAAGCUAUGUUAACAGCUACAGUUAGAAGAUAGGCUAUAAACACUUGGUUUUGAAUGUUUAGA